GCGCGGUGCGGUAGUUCAGUCGGUUAGAAUACCGGCCUGUCACGCCGGGGGUCGCGGGUUCGAGUCCCGCCACCGGCG
rnacentral:tRNA from 1 species